AAGGGAGACCUAAUUCGGGUAGAAGACGAAAAAAUAGUAGUCGAAACCAAGAAUCAAUCCCAAAAGGUCGGAACGAGGUAUGUGGCUUUCAAACUAGGUUCUGGGUUCAAACAAGACCUGAAUCAGGAACAAGGGCUAUUAGCUCAGGUGGUUAGAGCGCACCCCUGAUAAGGGUGAGGUCCCUGGUUCGAGUCCAGGAUGGCCCACCUGCACAGGUGGCAAAAACAAAGAAGCGAGGAAUCAGCACCUUAUCUUACUCAUAUAGUAAGAGAGAAUGCUGGCUCUGAGUAAAGAGUCCAGAGGAACCUUGAAAACUGCAUAGAGCUAGGUGAAAAAGCCAAAAAAGAAGACCGCAA
rnacentral:tRNA from 1 species